GGGAGCGUGAUGGAACUGGUAGACAUCCGAGACUUAAAAUCUCGUGGGACUUGUGCCCGUGGGGGUUCGAUUCCCCCCGCUCCCACCA
rnacentral:tRNA from 1 species